rnacentral:lncRNA from 1 species
AAAAACAAGCUUCCCUUCUGUAUAGCAACAUCAGUACACUAGCCUCAUUCAUGGAGCUUCUUACAACCAUCUUAAACUCUUCAAUAGAAUCGCAGCGUAAUGGGCUAAUGGCCUAUGAUUUCGAAUCCAGAAACAUCCUACGAAACAGCAAGGGGAGGGGGGUUCAGGUUAGUUUUGCCAAUGAUGUACAACGGCAUGACGCGGUUUCAGAACUGCCACAGGUCUACCCAUCUCCCGUAAGUACCUCUAACCUCUGGUUGCCUUUUCUUUCUCAACUUGAUAAUUGCAUUCUGCAUUUGAAUCUCUUCAAGUCUUCAGCACCAGGUCACAUCCGUGCCAGCUUCUGCAGAAAAUGACAGUGGAGAGAAUGAAAAUCACAGGAAAUAGUUUAAAUGAAAUAGACAUACACCUUUCCCCUGAGUAUAGAGAUUAAUCAGUAAAAAAUAAUAUGACAAAUGGGAACAAAACUACACUUUCCCUCCUCCUUGCCACCCCUUUUCACAUAUCAUGUACACACUUGACUUGCAAGUUUAAUGGAAUUGUUCAGGCGGGCAAUUGCCUGCCGAGGUUGCUUCGGAAAAAAAAAAACUAUACUUUCUCUAUGUUCUCUAGUAGACUACAACAAAUUUCUCCUUAUUGGAAUUUAUACAGAAGUUAAGCAUAAACCAUAAAUUGCUAAUUUAAUUUUGCCAGUUGUUCUAUAGCGACCUUUGACUACAUUGUCACCAAGUUUUUGGGUGUGCCAGUUUGCUCUAGCACAAAAUCCACUGCUGUUUGCUCUGUGCUUCAUUUUCACGGUUAUGGCCUAGCAUCCCAAUGAAUUUAUCUCCAGUUCCAUGGAAAUGAUUUCAUGGGGCCGGUUAAUAUAGUGACUUCAGCUCCAUGUUACCAAACAAGCCAUAAAUUCAGCUCAGUCAGAUGCAUUUACAAGUCAUCCCAUGGUGAAGUCUUGGUCCUAGAUGUAACACUUCCUUGCGUGAUCUGAAAAAUGUAUAGUCCUCUGCACAAAAAACUGCUGUUAGAAAGAGCAACCAGCCAAGAUCAAUGGUGCAUAUGUUCUUCCUCCUCCUGCUACUGUUGCUACUUCCCCACUCAUGUACAUAUACUCUAGCUCAGCAGAAUAUCAGCUUGGGGUCUACUCUGAAUCCUGAGGGCCCAAGCAGAGCAUGGCUCUCGCCCCCUGGUGACUUUGCCUUUGGUUUCACAUCCCUAAAGACCAACUCCUCACUCUAUCUACUUGCCAUCUGGUUUGAUCAGAUAGAAGAGAAGACUAUUGUUUGGUACAAUGGCACAUCAAUGGUAGCACACUGUCAUCUGGUUCAAGCCUGCAAUUCACCCAGAAUGGUACGCUUUCUCUCCGUGAUUCUGCUGGAGCUGAGGUUUGAAGGUCACCAGUUUCGGAUCUUCAAGUUAUAUUGGCAUUCUGGGCAUAUGACUGAUACUGCUGUGGUCACCUUGACUUGUUAGUUGAAGGUGAUGAGGCCAUGAGGGAGCAAUUAUUAAUAUGAAGAUAGUGGAAAGAUUUACAAGAGUUGCACUUUGGUGCAUACAGGAUGAACCAACGAUGCGCCCAACUAUGCUUAAAGUGACCAAGAUGCUUGAUGGAUCAAUAGAGGCUCCCCAGCCUCCUAUGGACACUCUAGCCUUCAUAAGUUCACUUUUGUAAAGUGGCAUUUAUAAGAGCGAGUGAUACUUUUUUUCUGUUUGGGAGUCAUCUUUUAAUUUUUUUCUUGUGCUAUAAAAGCCUGAUGGUAGUGGCUGUAUCACUUAGUACUUGUACUGUUGCUCUGACUGGCAUUAGGGAAGGGAGCUUUCCCAUUUGUUGGUCAUUACUCAUUAGGUUGUGAAGUCAACAUGUUCUGUUUUCUCCUUUCAAAAGAAAAGGUAGCUUGUACCUAGGGAUUAAUAUUUGAUAAUCAUAUAGUGCACUCGAUAGCUAUUUCUUGGUCCAUGGAUUCAUCUUACCCAAUUAAUAAAAGUAGGCUGGCAGUGCAUUACAAGACAUUUGUAUGUGCAUGAAUUGUAUUAUGAAGUGGAUACAUCCUUGAAUCCUCAUACUGAAUUCAAGGCUAUUUUCAAACAAGGAAAUGUACUGAACUUUUUUUAAAAAAAAAAGAAAUGUACUGAACUGAGAGUACCUACAGUCAGAAACUGAAAGAAAUAGCAUAUGCAGAUGGUUGAGUGUACGGAACCAAUGCAAAGACAUAACAACUGGAGAAAUCUCCAAACUAAUAACUACUUCUUCAGACAAGGAUAAUGCACCCAAAGUCAUCAAAUAACAGUAAGCCAAUCGUGUCAUAAUUUCCUACUCUAUGUCACGAAACCUACUCUACGGAGUACAACUACAACCAAUGUGAUGUCUUUGCCCUUUGGAUGGUUGGGGCUUCACGAGAUUAAUAGUAGAACUGUAAAAGUAAACAAUUCUAGCGUGCGGCCGAGAACUUCGAACAGAGAACACAAAAGGUCAGCAAAGAGCAAACUCACCAUCCAAUCCAUCCAGGCAUCAAUCCAAUCGCAUUGGGGGCGCUACCAAUCAACCUGUAGGCAGCAGACGACGGACGUCCCCAGCCAACGCUCCCGCUUCAACCUCGGCACCAGCGCCGACACGGAACUAGGGUACCGCUCCCGCCGGCCACCGCCGCCAUAGCCUCCCGGCUCCCGCAGGCCGCAGUCCCGCAAUCGCAGCACCCCUGCCCCGAGCCGCUGGC